CCUACGGGUGGCAGCAGUGGGGAAUAUUGGACAAUGGGCGAAAGCCUGAUCCAGCCAUGCCGCGUGUGUGAAGAAGGCCUUCGGGUUGUAAAGCACUUUCAGUGGGGAAGAAAGCCUUGGGGCUAAUACCCUCGAGGAAGGACAUCACCCACAGAAGAAGCACCGGCUAACUCCGUGCCAGCAGCCGCGGUAAUACGGAGGGUGCGAGCGUUAAUCGGAAUUACUGGGCGUAAAGCGCGCGUAGGCGGUCUGAUAAGCCGGUUGUGAAAGCCCCGGGCUCAACCUGGGAACGGCAUCCGGAACUGUCAGGCUAUAGUGCAGGAGAGGAAGGUAGAAUUCCCGGUGUAGCGGUGAAAUGCGUAGAGAUCGGGAGGAAUACCAGUGGCGAAGGCGGCCUUCUGGACUGACACUGACGCUGAGGUGCGAAAGCGUGGGUAGCAAACAGGAUUAGAUACCCUAGUAGUC
rnacentral:rRNA from 1 species